rnacentral:rRNA from 1 species
AUUGAACGCUGGCGGCAGGCUUAACACAUGCAAGUCGAGCGGAGAUGAGGUGCUUGCACCUUAUCUUAGCGGCGGACGGGUGAGUAAUGCUUAGGAAUCUGCCUAUUAGUGGGGGACAACAUUCCGAAAGGAAUGCUAAUACCGCAUACGUCCUACGGGAGAAAGCAGGGGAUCUUCGGACCUUGCGCUAAUAGAUGAGCCUAAGUCGGAUUAGCUAGUUGGUGGGGUAAAGGCCUACCAAGGCGACGAUCUGUAGCGGGUCUGAGAGGAUGAUCCGCCACACUGGGACUGAAACACGGCCCAGACUCCUAUGGGGGGCAGCAGUGGGGAAUAUUGGACAAUGGGGGGAACCCUGAUCCAGCCAUGCCGCGUGUGUGAAGAAGGCCUUAUGGUUGUAAAGCACUUUAAGCGAGGAGGAGGCUACUGAGACUAAUACUCUUGGAUAGUGGACGUUACUCGCAGAAUAAGCACCGGCUAACUCUGUGCCAGCCGCCGCGGUAA